UAAGGAUGAAAGCGGGGGACUCGCAAGAGCCUCGCGCGGUUGGUUCUGGCGAUAUCAGAUUAGGUAGUUGGUGAGGUAAAGGUGCACCAAGCCAACGAUCUGUAGCUGGUCUGAGAGGACGACCAGCCACACUGGAACUGAGACACGGUCCAGACUCCUACGGGAGGCAGCAGUGGGGAAUUUUGGACAAUGGACGCAAGUCUGAUCCAGCCAUUCCGCGUGCAGGACGAAGGCCUUCGGGUUGUAAACUGCUUUUGUACAGAACGAAAAGGUCUCUAUUAAUACUAGGGGCUCAUGACGGUACUGUAAGAAUAAGCACCGGCUAACUACGUGCCAGCAGCCGCGGUAAUACGUAGGGUGCAAGCGUUAAUCGGAAUUACUGGGCGUAAAGCGUGCGCAGGCGGUUAUAUAAGACAGAUGUGAAAUCCCCGGGCUCAACCUGGGAACUGCAUUUGUGACUGUAUAGCUGGAGUGCGGCAGAGGGGGAUGGAAUUCCGCGUGUAGCAGUGAAAUGCGUAGAUAUGCGGAGGAACACCGAUGGCGAAGGCAAUCCCCUGGGCCUGCACUGACGCUCAUGCACGAAAGCGUGGGGAGCAAACAGGAUUAGAUACCCUGGUAGUCCACGCCCUAAACGAUGUCAACUGGUUGUUGGGUCUUCACUGACUC
rnacentral:rRNA from 1 species